UACGAAGGGGACUAGCGUUGUUCGGAAUUACUGGGCGUAAAGCGCACGUAGGCGGAUUUGUAAGUCGGGGGUGAAAUCCCGGGGCUCAACCUCGGAACUGCCUUUGAUACUGCAAGUCUCGAGUCCGAUAGAGGUGGGUGGAAUUCCUAGUGUAGAGGUGAAAUUCGUAGAUAUUAGGAAGAACACCGGUGGCGAAGGCGGCCCACUGGAUCGGUACUGACGCUGAGGUGCGAAAGCGUGGGGAGCAAACAGGAU
rnacentral:rRNA from 1 species